CCAAGGAGUCUAACACGCCUGCGAGUGAAUGGGUGACAAAACCCAGACGCGCAAUGAAAGUGAAGUCGGCUUGCCGAUUGACACACGACCCGGUUCUCUUGAGCCGGUGCAGUGUGGUGUCGUCAUGAUUGCUUGCAAUGUGGCGAACACAGAGCAGUCAUGUUGGGACCCGAAAGAUGGUGAACUAUGCCUGAGCAGGACGAAGCCAGAGGAAACUCUGGUGGAGGUCCGAAGCGGUUCUGACGUGCAAAUCGAUCGUCAGACUUGGGUAUAGGGGCGAAAGACUAAUCGAACCAUCUAGUAGCUGGUUCCCUCCGAAGUUUCCCCCAGGAUAGCUGGUGCUCGUGUUGCAGUCUUAUCCGGUAAAGCGAAUGAUUAGAGGACUUGGGGACGAAACGACCUCAACCUAUUCUCAAACUUUAAAUGGGUAAGAAGUCUGGCUUGCCUGACCGAACCUAUACAAUGGAUGUGAGUGCCAAGUGGGCCAUUUUU
rnacentral:rRNA from 1 species